GAUGUGCGGCACCCCUCUUCCCCAGGUAAUGGGCAUCCCAAAGGCGGAAGAGGUCCUGGGGAGAACUAUCUGGGCCCCUCCCAGCACCAAUCUGAAAGCCUCUAGGUCUUGGGAGGAUUAUGGAAGGGAAUUAACGCAUCCGUCUGCAGCUCAGAGGAAGAUGGGGUAACUGAGGCCCAAAGACGCUGACUUGUCCAGACGUUCAGUUGUGACCGUGUCAAGGACCCCUCUUCACCCACGAGCCUGCAAAGGGUGACUCCUUGGGCUUCAGGUGGAUUCAAGAUGGUCCCUUGGAUAUCCCAGAGCCCCAGACACCUGACACGAGACACACCUUGGCCUCUGAAAACCUGUGCUUCCUCCAGUCUCAACAAUCCACGCAAAAAAGCUCGAGUCACUCAGACCACCCCCACCAUCAACUCCCGUCCCUUUGGACUCCCCCUCCAGCAUCUCCCAGAUCCGUCCAUGUCUCCCCAUCCCUAACUGCCUUGGCCAUGCCAGGCCCCGUGGCCUCACCUGAUGGCUAAUCGUGGUCUCUUAACAGAUCUCUUCCACUCUCCCACUUCUCACUCACCCCACCCCACACACUACGUCAAGAGGAACCUCAUGCUGCAAGUCAGCUCAUUCCUUCACCCACUCAAUCACUAGGAAUUCGGUAAACAUUUGCUUGAACAAAAGAGGUGGGUCUUAGUCAUCAGAGCCUAUGGGCUGGCAAGGGAUCGGCUGUUAAACAAAUGAAGAGACAAUUGAAACUGAGGUGUAGGACAGGACCCCCCUGCCAUCCACCCCCCCACCAUAGCCCCACCUCUGCUCUCCAGGAUGCCCACAUUCCUGGGCAGCCCAUCUCACUGCUCCUCCCCACGAGAACCUCCCGGACUGUCCCUUUCCCCUCCACCUGGCUUCCUCCUCCUCGUUCUUCAGGGGCCUGUUCCUCUGUGUUCCCAGGGACCUGGUGCUCCAGCAGAGCGCCUACGCACUGUGCUAACUGCCUCGUUACUUGGCCUUCUUCAUCCCUGUGUCCCCGGUGCCUUGCUCCAUAGCUGGAUUCUAGGAGUGCUCAAAAAACAUUUGCACAAAGGCCAGGCGAAGUGGCUCAUGCCUGUAAUACCAGCACUUUGGGCGGCCAAGGUGGGAGGCUUUGAGGCCAGGAGUUUAAGACCCGCCUAGAAAACACAGUGAGACCUGUCCCUAC